AGCUCCAAUGGCGCACAUUAAAGUUGUUGCAGUUAAAAAGCUCGUAGUUGGAUUUGUGGCUGUCUUGGGCGGUUCCUCACAUUGUGUUGAUCUUGCUUGAGUCGCCAUCCUUGGGUGGAUCCUGUGUGGCAUUAGGUUGUCGUGCAGGGGAUGCCCAUCGUUCACUGUGAAAAAAUUAGAGUGUUCAAAGCAGGCUCAUGCCGUUGAAUGCAUUGGCAUGGAAUGAUGAGAUGGGACCUUGGUGCUAUUUUGUUGGUUUGCGCACCAAGGUGAUGAUUAAUGGGGACAGUUGGGGGUAUUUGCAUUCCAUUGUCAGAGGUGAAAUUCUUGGAUUUUUGGAAGACAAACUACUGCGAAAGCAUUUACCAAGGAUGUUUUCAUUAAUCAAGAACGAAAGUAC
rnacentral:rRNA from 1 species